rnacentral:rRNA from 1 species
UGAGGAAUAUUGGUCAAUGGACGCAAGUCUGAACCAGCGACGCCGCGUGCGGGAUGAAGGGGCUUAGCCUCGUAAACCGCUGUCAAGAGGGACGAGAGGGCGAUUUUGUCGUCCGGGACGGUACCUCUGAAGGAAGGAUCGGCUAACUACGUGCCAGCAGCCGCGGUAAUACGUAGGAUCCGAGCGUUGUCCGGAAUUACUGGGCGUAAAGGGUGCGUAGGCGGCAAUGUGCGUCAGAGGUGAAAUCCACGGGCUUAACUUGUGGGGUUGCCUUUGAUACGGCAUAGCUUGAGUACGAGAGAGGUCGAUGGAAUUCCUGGUGUAGCAGUGAAAUGCGUAGAUAUCAGGAGGAACACCGGUGGCGAAGGCGGUCGGCUGGCUCGUAACUGACGCUGAGGCACG